UGGUAAAAUAAGCUAAAAGCUUUUGGGCCCAUACCCCAAAUAUGUUGGUUAAAAUCCCUCUUUUACUAA
rnacentral:tRNA from 1 species